rnacentral:rRNA from 1 species
UAGGGAAUCUUCCACAAUGGACGCAAGUCUGAUGGAGCAACGCCGCGUGAGUGAAGAAGGUUUUCGGACCGUAAAGCUCUGUUGUUGGUGAAGAAGGAUAGAGGUAGUAACUGGCCUUUAUUUGACGGUAAUCAACCAGAAAGUCACGGCUAACUACGUGCCAGCAGCCGCGGUAAUACGUAGGUGGUAAGCGUUGUCCGGAUUUAUUGGGCGUAAAGCGAGCGCAGGCGGAAGAAUAAGUCUGAUGUGAAAGCCCUCGGCUUAACCGAGGAAUUGCAUCGGAAACUGUCUUUCUUGAGUGCAGAAGAGGAGAGUAGAACUCCAUGUGUAGCGGUGGAAUGCGUAGAUAUAUGGAAGAAUACCAGUGGCGGAGGCGGCUCUCUGGUCUGCAACUGACGCUGAGGCUCGAAAGCAUGGGUAGCGAACAGGAUUAGAUACCCUGGUAGUCCAUGCCGUAAACGAUGAGUGCUAAGUGUUGGGAGGCUUCCGCCUCUCAGUGCUGCAGCUAACGCAUUAGGCACUCCGCCUGGGGGAGUACGACCGCAAGGUUGAAAC